rnacentral:rRNA from 1 species
GAAUAUGGGGGGACCAUCCUCCAAGGCUAAAUACUCCUGACUGACCGAUAGUGAACCAGUACCGUGAGGGAAAGGCGAAAAGAACCCCGGCGAGGGGAGUGAAAAAGAACCUGAAACCGUGUACGUACAAGCAGUGGGAGCCCCACCACCAAAGCAUUCUCUGGUGUUGAAGGCCCUGCAAAGCAGCAUCGCGGUGGCGGAGCGUCGUUUGCGACGCCCAACACAAAAAACAAGCGGUGAGUGCUUUGGGGUGGGGUGACUGCGUACCUUUUGUAUAAUGGGUCAGCGACUUAUAUUCUGUAGCAAGGUUAACCGAAUAGGGGAGCCGUAGGGAAACCGAGUCUUAACUGGGCGUUAAGUUGCAGGGUAUAGACCCGAAACCCGGUGAUCUAGCCAUGGGCAGGUUGAAGGUUGGGUAACACUAACUGGAGGACCGAACCGACUAAUGUUGAAAAAUUAGCGGAUGACCUGUGGCUGG